rnacentral:hammerhead_ribozyme from 1 species
AUCCAGCUGACGAGUCCCAGAUGGGACAAAACUUACGUUCUGUAU